rnacentral:rRNA from 1 species
AGUAACGGCGAGUGAAGCGGCAACAGCUCAAAUUUGAAAUCUGGCUCUUUUAGAGUCCGAGUUGUAAUUUGCAGAGGGCGCUUUGGCUUUGGCAGCGGUCCAAGUUCCUUGGAACAGGACGUCACAGAGGGUGAGAAUCCCGUACGUGGUCGCUGGCUAUUGCCGUGUAAAGCCCCUUCGACGAGUCGAGUUGUUUGGGAAUGCAGCUCUAAAUGGGAGGUACAUUUCUUCUAAAGCUAAAUAUUGGCCAGAGACCGAUAGCGCACAAGUAGAGUGAUCGAAAGAUGAAAAGCACUUUGGAAAGAGAGUCAAACAGCACGUGAAAUUGUUGAAAGGGAAGCGCUUGCAGCCAGACUUGCUUACAGUUGCUCAUCCGGGUUUCUACCCGGUGCACUCUUCUGUAGGCAGGCCAGCAUCAGUUUGGGCGGUAGGAUAAAGGUCUCUGUCACGUACCUCCUUUCGGGGAGGCCUUAUAGGGGAGACGACAUACUACCAGCCUGGACUGAGGUCCGCGCAUCUGCUAGGAUGCUGGCGUAAUGGCUGUAAGCGGCCCGUCUUGAAACACGGACCAAGGAGUCUAACAUCUAUGCGAGUGUUUGGGUGUCAAGCCCGAGCGCGUAAUGAAAGUGAACGGAGGUGGGAACCCGCAAGGGUGCACCAUCGACCGAUCCUGAUGUCUUCGGAAGGAUUUGAGUAAGAGCAUGGCUGUUGGGACCCGAAAGAUGGUGAACUAUGCUUGAAUAGGGUGAAGCCAGAGGAAACUCUGGUGGAGGCUCGCAGCGGUUCUGACGUGCAAAUCGAUCGUCAAAUUUGGGCAUAGGGGCGAAAG